CUCCUCUCCCAAAUAAAAAAUCACCUGCUGCAAAAAUAUCCCUUUGCUCCAAGCUCUAUGGAGUUUGCCAUCAGCUCAUACCACAGUGAUGUCUUCCAUAGAUACUCUAUCAGAUAGGUCAUUGGAGGCAGUGAGGGAAAUAUACUCUGCUCUAAGAUCUUCCCAUCUUGUGAUUCCCACAGGUCCUCAGAGAUCUCUGGAUUCAGACAGUACUGUUUGAGAACCUGUUCCAGUGAAUAAAAUGAUUUCCAUCUAAGUUUAAAAUCCAAGUCGAUAUUUUGUUCUUUUUUUAACUUGCAAGACUUGGAAAUCACAGGCCAGAGCUGACAACAUUCAACAUUCUAAGGCACUAUGUGCAUACAGAAUGCUUUCUUCCUCAUCCCACGAAGGGAACCAAUGUUGUCUCCGAAGACAAAUAUCCCUUGUAUGAGAAUACUUCUAUUAUUCCUUCACAAUGUUUCAGAAAUGAGAUCAACCACAUAAAUGCAUUCAAUCCCAAAGGUAUAUAUGGAAAUAGAUCACAGAAGAUUUUAAAUCAGGAACUUGUUUGGCUUCAAGCAAGUUGGCACAAACCAACACCAUUGCAAGGCACAGUCAGCUCUGUGCUCAAAAAUGGUAAAUGUGCAGAAGGAGCAAUGAAUCCUACUGCUUCCUGA
rnacentral:lncRNA from 12 species